rnacentral:rRNA from 1 species
CAGUCGCCGCGGGAAUACGUAGGUGGCAAGCGUUGUCCGGAAUUAUUGGGCGUAAAGCGCGUCUAGGUGGUUAUGUAAGUCUGAUGUGAAAAUGCAGAGCUCAACUCUGUAUUGCGUUGGAAACUGCAUGACUAGAGUACUGGAGAGGUAAGCGGAACUACAAGUGUAGAGGUGAAAUUCGUAGAUAUUUGUAGGAAUGCCGAUGGGGAAGCCAGCUUACUGGACAGAUACUGACGCUGAAGCGCGAAAGCGUGGGUAGCAAACAGGAUUAGAUACCCCAGUAGUCCCUGUCUCUUAUACA